AAGCUGCUCCCUCCACAUGAUUUGCCAGCCACCACAGGGCAGCGACUGAACAAAAUGCUCUUCUAGGGGAUGCCCUGUUCCACUCCAUUUUUAUCUCAGCAUUCCUGUCCUUUAGAUGCGCUGCUGCAAUUCUCACUCCCCACUGCCUAGGUACGUAGCGUCCAUUGUGUAUUUCCUGAUGAUGCGCUUUGGUUUGUCUCUUGGAAACACUGUUAUUGCACCCCAGGGACGCAGCCUCCAAACUGUUGCAUUCAGCCUUCUCCUUCCUCAGCUGUUCGAAUCCCAUGACAAGGGUGACUGAUUGGCAGCACCAUAACCAGCAGUCACUUCCCCGCCCUCCACCUCCCCCCCCCCCCCCCCCAAGGCUUCCCAGAGGAAAAGUUGUGCCGUUGAAAUGCAAAUGGCUGAUCAAAAGCGGUAAAUCCCUUCCAAGAACAAGGUCUGUCUUUGCCACUUUGGGCUUUGCCAAAUAUUUCAAACAGCCUUUCGCAUCUGGGCAAGGGGGAAUGUUGGUAUGUAUCAUCAGGCUGAGGCAGUGUUCUUAAACUGUGGUCAUGAUCCACUAGGGGCUUCUGAAAUCAGUUUAGUAGGUUACAACUGCAUUAGAAAAUAGAAUCGAACCAAAGAGAAUAGGGUAGAUGUACAGGAGUACACAGCCCGUAACAAAGGUUGGUUUCUUUGUGAAAUUUUCAUUUUGGUAUAAACACACGCACAUAGAUACAUAAACGUGUGUACUGAUGUGGGGGCAUGAAUGUAUUUCUGUUUAUUUUUUAACCUUUAUUUUAACUGUGACGUAUUAUUAACCCCCCAGCAGCAUAUAUACAAUUUCUAUUUUAAAGACUCAUUAGACCAACUCCUAAGUUUCCCCCACUAUGACUGAGAACGAGGACAGAGCUGCGACCUUAGAAACCGUCUGUCUGGGGGCACCUGGGCGGCUCAGUCGGUUAAGCGUCCAACUUGGCUCACGUCGUGAUCUUGCGGUCUGUGAGUUCAAGCCCCGUGUUGGGCUCUGUGCUGACAGCUCAGAGCUUGGAGCCUGUUUCAGAUUCUGUCUCCCUCUCUCUCUCUGCCCCUCCCCCGUUCGUGCUCUGUCUCUCUUGCUCUCAAAAAUAAAUAAAACAUAAAAAAUUUAAAAAGAAACCGUCUGUCUGACCCUCCUCACCUCAUUCCCCUUCCCGGCCCCCAGAAGCAGCCGCACUCCUGACUUUUACAGUAAUCAUCCCCUGGCUUUGGUCACAGUUUUGCCCCCCACAUCUACAUCAGGAAGAACACUGAGUUUGGUCUGGCCUUUGAGCUCUUCCUAAGAGUUCUCCUGGGAUUUGCUUCUUCCCCUCAAGGCUGUGUUCCUGACAUUUUUCUCUCGUCGGCACGUUCACCUGUAGCUCAAGCAUUUCAUUGGCGUGUAGCCUUCUUCGUAGGAUUGCACCAUGAUACCGGCACCAUCCUGGGGCUGGUGGACACGAGAGCCAUUCCAGAUUGGGUGUUUACAAACAGUGCUGCUCCGGAACCUUCUCCCUCAUUUCCCUGGCAUGCCUACAGAGGGGUUUCUCUGGCACACAGGAGAGGGCUGUUGGAUCUGUGAUUCCUGCAUGUUCUACGUGACGGGGUGCAGCUUGGUGCUUGCACCCAUUCUCUACCACCAGCCCACACGUGGUUUUGUUCAGAUGUAUUUCUGACUGUGGUCUGUAACCAAAAAAGUCGGAAGACAUGUCUAAAGGCUCCUAAGGUAAGAACGGUACUUCUUUAAAACUAAGAAUUUUUUCAUUGCCGUGUGUGUGUGUGUGUGUGUGUGUGUGUGUGUGUGUGUAGGUGAGCCUGGAGGAAAUCAGAGCAGGAGAAAGGAUGAAAGGACACUCACGUUGUGAGCACUUGUUACCCACCAUGCACCGAGCACAGCGCUUUACCAAUUUGCACGUAUUUUCUCCUAAAUCUUCACAUCAGCCUUGUGAGACGUGGUUAAGUCCCACUCGGUAGAACAGAGGUUCAAAGAAAGUAAGGAACGCACCCAGAGGCAUAUGGCAAGAAAUAUGCUGGAACUGGAAUUUGCACCCAGGCCUAUCGGUCUCCGAAGCCACCUGACCACUUUUCCCACCUCGGGUGCUCUUCCCAAGGCCCCUGCCUCUGCAGGUUGUACUUCCCUGCCUCACUGGCACAUGACCUUGGCCCAGGAUUGUCUCCAAAUCACUGUGAGAGAGGCGCAGUUCAUCCCAGGACUUCAGAUCUUCCACAGAGUGUCCUUGGCCCCCUGCCCAGCUCACACCUGCCCUCCAGAUGCCAGAACCUGAACAGCUCACCAUUCCGCCCGAUGCUUAGACGGCUCUUGCCAGUCACUGGCUCCUUGGUCUCUCACUGUCUCUCUCUGUCUCUAGAUGGUGCCCUCUCGCUGGAGGACCGGCUCGACCUUUCCUCUCUGAAAGUUUUCAUGUGUCUGCUCCCACCCAGGGAGGUGGAGGCUUUCUUUUGGGUAUGACACGUUCUUCUGGCCAUGAAAAGGGCAAUCACGGAGGAGAUGUUUCAUUAUCAAGCAACUUCGAGACUAGUGAUUGACCAAACACCUGGGCACCUAGGCCCCCACACCACACACAUGGAACUUCAGCAGCAACAUUGGAUGAGUUUCACACUCAGAUGAAGUCUGUUGCUAGGCUCCCUUGACUUCAGAAGAGGAAAGUAAACCCAGAGAAGGGAAGGACUUUGCUCCAACUCACACAGCAAAAAAGAGGCCGAGCUUGUGACCAGCUCGCUAUGCUGCCUCCUUCUCCGGAGGGAUGUGUGCAGAAGGGAGAAAGUGUAACCGCUCAGAAAACAUUGGGGCGCCUGGGUGGCUCAGUCGGUUGAGCGUCCGACUUGGGCUCAGGUCACGAUCUCGCGGUCCGUGAGUUCGAGCCCUGCGUCGGGCUCUGGGCUGACAGCUCAGAGCCUGGAGCCUGUUUCAGAUACUGUGUCUCCCUCUCUCUCUGCCCCUCCCCCCCCGCUCAUGCUCUGCCUUUCUCCCUGUCAAAAAUAAAUAAACAUUAAAAAAAAAAGAAAAAAAAAAAAAGAAAACAGAGAAAGUCCACACCCUGAAGCCAAUUCACCGCCAGACCACUGACAUCCUUCUGAAGUCCUUCCAUGUGAGUCUGCCCCCUAGACUGUGGCUGGAGGAACCUCCUGAAGAUCUGGCAUGGGCACUCCCUUUCUCAUACAUCCUCAGUGGCUCCCCAUUAAUUAAUUACUCAACACAAGCAGGAAGCCUCACCCUAAACUCAAGCCCCCUCUCCCCCCGCCCAAACUUGGCCUUCAUGGGGUUCUUGCUUUUUUUUUUUUUUAGCAGCACUGCAUCUCCUUGCUGCUUUCUGCCCCAUACCGUCCUCCCUAAACUGAACACCCCCUCCUCCCAGGUUGCAGAACGGACCUUCUUGUCUGAUGGAAGGAGGGAGCGCUCUGGAGUCCUCCCGGUCCCAAAGUCUGCCAUGUGGAAUCACCACUUCGGUAAGUUGCUCGCUCACUCUGAGCCAUUUUCUACUUGUGGGUACCUUCUGCCCGAGGCUGAUGUGAAACUCACAGGUAAGGUACAAGGACGACGCCUCACUCACGCAUAGGACGUGAAGUGCUCUUUCCUCCCCCCUUCCAGGGAGCCGCUGAGCCAGGGGGCAGGAACAGCCUCACCCUUGCUCACAGGGUCAGUGUUCACCGUCCCUUUCCGCACCCAUGAGUGGCCUCAAACAUCUGGCCUCUUUGGCUCCCAGAACAGCAGAAACCCCUUUGGUGACUGCCAGCGCCUGUCCGCACGCCUUGGGUCAGAGCCGCUCUGGAAAGCUCUUCCCCUCUCAGCUCCCGAGUCUGGGAUUGACAUGCUUGUUUCUGGGGGUGGAGGUGUCAGUGAAAUUCCACAGGCUUGAAAAACAUUGAGCAGCGUCUCACUGAAAUUGCUUUUUCCACCCCGCCCCCCCCCCUUCAUUUUUAAUUUGAAGAAAACAAAAGCCCAAGCGCUGCAGCGGAAGAUUCAUUAAAUAAUUUACUGCACCUGCCAUUUUAAGGGGUAAUUUAAUACAGCCACCCUUCGAGCCACCUUUAUGACAGAAAUUUUCCGCCUCCUUUGGGAAGGUGGCUGCGUUCCGUGGAGUGGAUGCCUGGGUAGCAGGAGAAGCCAGAAGCCCUCGAAUGUUUUCCAGCCCCGACAGAAGCCAACCCCGUCAGACACACGGCUGGGUAAUGACUGCAAUUUCACGCAGAUUAAAUUUACCUUUGGGGGCGAAAUAUGGACACAGAAAGGAAACCAAACCCCGUGUUUUCAAGGUAGCCUAAGAUCCAAGUUCAAAGGGAUCAGAAAAGAGGUUUGUGAUUUGGGGGAUUUAAUAACUUUUCAUUCUUUCACUGGCUUUUCCAAGUUUACAG